rnacentral:piRNA from 1 species
ACAGUGACUGCUGACGUCUGAGAGC